rnacentral:rRNA from 1 species
AUUGAACGCUGGCGGCAUGCCUUACACAUGCAAGUCGAACGGUAACGCGGGGGCAACCCUGGCGACGAGUGGCGAACGGGUGAGUAGCGCAUCGGAACGUGCCCAGUAGUGGGGGAUAGCCCGGCGAAAGCCGGAUUACUACCGCAUACGACCUACGGGUGAAAGCGGGGGACCGCAAGGCCUAGCGCUAUUGGAGCGGCCGAUGUCAGAUUAGGUAGUUGGUGAGGUAAAGGCUCACCAAGCCUUCGAUCUGUAGCUGGUCUGAGAGGACGACCAGCCACACUGGGACUGAGACACGGCCCAGACUCCUACGGGAGGCAGCAGUGGGGAAUUUUGGACAAUGGGCGCAAGCCUGAUCCAGCCAUGCCGCGUGCGGGAAGAAGGCCUUCGGGUUGUAAACCGCUUUUGUCAGGGAAGAAACGCUCUGGGCUAAUACCCUAGGGUAAUGACGGUACCUGAAGAAUAAGCACCGGCUAACUACGUGCCAGCCGCCGCUGUA